UGGGGAGUACGGCCGCAAGGUUAAAACUCAAAUGAAUUGACGGGGGCCCGCACAAGCGGUGGAGCAUGUGGUUUAAUUCGAUGCAACGCGAAGAACCUUACCUACUCUUGACAUCCAGAGAACUUUCCAGAGAUGGAAGGGUGCCUUCGGGAACUCUGAGACAGGUGCUGCAUGGCUGUCGUCAGCUCGUGUUGUGAAAUGUUGGGUUAAGUCCCGCAACGAGCGCAACCCUUAUCCUUUGUUGCCAGCGGUUCGGCCGGGAACUCAAAGGAGACUGCCAGUGAUAAACUGGAGGAAGGUGGGGAUGACGUCAAGUCAUCAUGGCCCUUACGAGUAGGGCUACACACGUGCUACAAUGGCGUAUACAAAGAGAAGCGAACUUGCGAGAGUAAGCGGACCUCAUAAAGUACGUCGUAGUCCGGAUUGGAGUCUGCAACUCGACUCCAUGAAGUCGGAAUCGCUAGUAAUCGUAGAUCAGAAUGCUACGGUGAAUACGUUCCCGGGCCUUGUACACACCGCCCGUCACACCAUGGGAGUGGGUUGCAAAAGAAGUAGGUAGCUUAACCUUCGGGAGGGCGCUUACCACUUUGUGAUUCAUGACUGGGGUGAAGUCGUAACAAGGUAACCAAGGGCGAAUUCGCGGC
rnacentral:rRNA from 1 species